rnacentral:lncRNA from 1 species
UUACUUUUAAAUAGUUAUAACGUCUAAAAACCUUAAAAUUGUAACAAUAAAGUUAUUUGCAUUCAAAAAGAUAAUAAAGAAUUGUUUGAAUUUACGAUUCCAGUGAAACAAAAUGAUUGUCAACAAUGGUACCUGAUUAUCACCUCUUCCUUACCAAAAUUUAUGUGAAUUAGAUGUCACAUGGCAGUCCGUCACAUUUAAGCUAUUGAUUACCCAUGAUUAAUGACUCAUAAUUCUUGCUACAUUUUUUAGACAAAAUCUAGUUUUCAUUUAAACUCUAUGCAAACGCAUGAACUCUAACUUGAACAAACUCUAAGCCAUGUAACCCAAAAAUACUCGUGUAACCACUACUAGAAAAUGGUCAAUUAGCUACAGAAAUUUCCAACGCAAAAAAAUGCGUUGCAAAUUUCAACACCUUUGCGACACAUUUUUGAUGAAAGAAAAAUCCUAACUUUUGAAACAAAUUUGCAACACAAUUUGUGAUGAAAAUAUGUGUUAAAAAAUCUGAAUUUGCAACACAUUUGUGACGAAAUGUGUGUUAAAAAAGCCCCUUUUUUCUAAUAGUGAUUAACCCACAAAUUUACACUGGUUAAAUGGGCUAGCAAGUCAAAAUGGGUUGGAGGGGUAUUAAUGGGUUGUAAGGUUAAAAGAAUCGUAACAAGUUAGCAGGUUGUAAACACGUUUCGAGUCUUAAUUAUGACACCAUAACUCUAUAAACUCAAAAGAAAAAAAAAACAAAACCUUAGCCACCCAAGCUUGCUCUUGUUGGUUUGUUGUUGAGUUGUGUAGAAAGAGGAAGGGAUAAAGAUGUAUGAAUUUCUGAUCACAAUAGUUUAUUAA